GACAAAGGCAGAGACACAGACAAAGAGAGACAGAAAUAGAAAGACAGGAAUUGGCUCGUGCAAUUGCAGAAGCUUGGAGAUUCUAAAAUCUGAAAAUCUGAUAGCAUUGGCCUGCAGCCUGGAGACUCCUGGAAGAGCUGCCCUGGAAGUCAAAGCAGUUUCCUGGAAGAAUCCCUUCUUGCUUGUGGGAGAUUCUGCAUCAGUCUUCCUCCAUCAUGAAUAUCCAUCUGGUAGCAGUGGAAGGUAUUCGAGUUACAUGGCACCAAAAUAUGUUACCAGCAGGUCUGCAGCAACCUCAUUCUUGCCUCCUCAGAAGAAAGAAUUUGAAGGACAUAAGGGAGAAGGAGAGACCAAGGCCUGAGGAAGUCCCACUUUUGAAACUGAAGCCAAUAUGCUUUACCCAUGAGAAGAAAAGGGAGAGGAGGGGAGAAAGCUGUGGCUGUGCCUUGUUUUAAUAACAAAACUUUCUGAAUAAUUAAAAUGUUUUAUUUGGAAGAAAAAGCUGACAGGUAGCAAACCUCAUACAGCAUUUAUGAAUAUGUACAUAAUAGAUGCCAAACAGCAAAAACCACUUCAGUAAUUACUGUGCAUAGUAUUUGAAUACUAUGUGCAUAAAAGAGAAAAAAAGCACAGAAAAUUCAUAUUUAUUCAAAUACAUUCAUAAUAAAAAUCUUAAGAAUCUUUUAACCUAACUGUACUUGACUACUUUUUAAA
rnacentral:lncRNA from 1 species